rnacentral:tRNA from 1 species
GCCCCAGUAGCUCAAAGGAGAGAGCAGCCGCCUCCUAAGCGGUGGGUUGAGGGUUCGACUCCCUCCUGGGGCU